GGGGAUGUACCUCAGCAAGGCAGCGCCUGCCUGGCAAGCAUGAGGUCCUGAGAUCAAUUCCCAGCACCCCCC
rnacentral:tRNA from 1 species